rnacentral:piRNA from 1 species
UUAAGUAAGUAAAUCUUCAGC